AGAUUGUGCUUGGUUUUUGGUUCUCUGAAUCUUUUUGGUUAAUUAGAACUUCUAAAAAUUCCAAAAUCGUGCAUCUAGAUUGGAAAAUGGCUUGAGUUUGAGGUUAAAAGUUUGGUUUGAGUUGCUGUUUCGGCAUUGUUCUAUUCCUGAUUUUAAGCUGAUUUUACUGCUUCUUGUUUCCCUUCCUGAAUCUGAACUUAUUUUUUUCUGUUGUUUGUUGCUGUAACCAGGUAUUUUUCUAGCCUUCAUUUGGCAUGAUGAAAUGAAAGAUCUGCUGAUGUUGUUUAAGUUGAGAGUUUAUGGCAUACAUGUUCAUCAAAUGCUAUUUUUUUGUUUUCUUUUGAACCCAUUUAAUUCGG
rnacentral:lncRNA from 1 species